GAUGAACGCUAGCUACAGGCUUAACACAUGCAAGUCGAGGGGAAACGACAUCGAAAGCUUGCUUUUGAUGGGUGUCGACCGGCGCACGGGUGAGUAACGCGUAUCCAACCUGCCCAUCACUUGGGGAUAACCUUGCGAAAGUAAGACUAAUACCCAAUGAUAUCUCUAGAAGACAUCUGAAGGAGAUUAAAGAUUUAUCGGUGAUGGAUGGGGAUGCGUCUGAUUAGCUUGUUGGCGGGGUAACGGCCCACCAAGGCGACGAUCAGUAGGGGUUCUGAGAGGAAGGUCCCCCACAUUGGAACUGAGACACGGUCCAAACUCCUACGGGAGGCAGCAGUGAGGAAUAUUGGUCAAUGGACGAGAGUCUGAACCAGCCAAGUAGCGUGCAGGAUGACGGCCCUAUGGGUUGUAAACUGCUUUUAUAAGGGAAUAAAGUGAGUCUCGUGAGACUUUUUGCAUGUACCUUAUGAAUAAGGACCGGCUAAUUCCGUGCCAGCA
rnacentral:rRNA from 1 species